AUGCGCGAAUUCGUUGGACUGGCUGUUGAAACAUGUCACAGAAGUACUUGAUAUAAUGAUACUUAGAUUCAUAUAAUGAUGCUUUUGUUUUUGAAGUUUGCUCAAAUUUGAAGUACUUGAUCUGCUGCAGGUGCUCUUUAUGCAAGUAUACACUUUAUGAAGGGAAUAAUAGACAUCUGGACUCCAUUUUCAAGGACAUGGUUGUUACAGUUAGGUUGUGAAAAUUAUGGAUCUCCAUUGCCAUGGCCGAGAAGUGGAUGCCUUCAAAGAUAUUCAUGUAGUUUGCAUUUGCAGUGGUGCGGUAGCGGCGUUUUGCGUCAUCCAUGCUUCAAAUAAUUUUAACAUUUGUAUUAUGGGGAAUGAAUUCUGAUCGAUACGGUCGAUAACCUAUUUAUGAUCCAGGUAUUUGAAAAAACACAUAUUUCUUCAUCUACUACACAUAAUAUUAUUCUUUUAACUAUCACUAUCCUGUUUUCUUCUUGCAGUUAGCUGAGAAGUAGCCUUAUUUAUUUCCAAAGGGUUCAUUGUGGGAUAAGAAAGUUAAAAUUUACUGCAUUUUAACUUAAUUUCGUGUAAUAUUAUUCUUUUAACUAUCAUUCUCAUGUUUUCUUCUUGCAGUCAGCUGAGAAACAUCCACUUUUAUUUCCAAAGGAUUCACUGAUUAUCACAUUGAACUUGCUCUUUCCAUUUUCAAGGAUUCUACUACAUUUGAGUCAGCUCUUGAUUGGUUAUUGCUCAAUUUGCCCGAAAAUAAACUUUCACUCAAGUUUUCCACUGGGACUUCAAAUCAUUAUAAUCAAGG